UAAAGGAAAGUCUCCAUAGUAACCAGGC
rnacentral:piRNA from 1 species